UUAACUUACUAAUUUGUAUGGAGUUGGAGCGUUUGCCUACGUUUGCCACUAGAGGCGCUGUUCCAACUGCAUACAAAUUUGGGUUA
rfam:Bombyx mori DNA, contig: Bm_scaf13_contig10160, strain: p50T/Dazao, build 2, whole genome shotgun sequence.